rnacentral:rRNA from 1 species
GGGUUGUGAGGUUAAGCGACUAAGCGUACACGGUGGAUGCCCUGGCAGUCAGAGGCGAUGAAGGACGUGCUAAUCUGCGAUAAGCGUCGGUAAGGUGAUAUGAACCGUUAUAACCGGCGAUUUCCGAAUGGGGAAACCCAGUGUGUUUCGACACACUAUCAUUAACUGAAUCCAUAGGUUAAUGAGGCGAACCGGGGGAACUGAAACAUCUAAGUACCCCGAGGAAAAGAAAUCAACCGAGAUUCCCCCAGUAGCGGCGAGCGAACGGGGAGGAGCCCAGAGCCUGAAUCAGUGUGUGUGUUAGUGGAAGCGUCUGGAAAGGCGCGCGAUACAGGGUGACAGCCCCGUACACAAAAAUGCACAUGCUGUGAGCUCGAUGAGUAGGGCGGGACACGUGGUAUCCUGUCUGAAUAUGGGGGGACCAUCCUCCAAGGCUAAAUACUCCUGACUGACCGAUAGUGAACCAGUACCGUGAGGGAAAGGCGAAAAGAACCCCGGCGAGGGGAGUGAAAAAGAACCUGAAACCGUGUACGUACAAGCAGUGGGAGCACGCUUAGGCGUGUGACUGCGUACCUUUUGUAUAAUGGGUCAGCGACUUAUAUUCUGUAGCAAGGUUAACCGAAUAGGGGAGCCGAAGGGAAACCGAGUCUUAACUGGGCGUUAAGUUGCAGGGUAUAGACCCGAAACCCGGUGAUCUAGCCAUGGGCAGGUUGAAGGUUGGGUAACACUAACUGGAGGACCGAACCGACUAAUGUUGAAAAAUUAGCGGAUGACUUGUGGCUGGGGGUGAAAGGCCAAUCAAACCGGGAGAUAGCUGGUUCUCCCCGAAAGCUAUUUAGGUAGCGCCUCGUGAAUUCAUCUCCGGGGGUAGAGCACUGUUUCGGCAAGGGGGUCAUCCCGACUUACCAACCCGAUGCAAACUGCGAAUACCGGAGAAUGUUAUCACGGGAGACACACGGCGGGUGCUAACGUCCGUCGUGAAGAGGGAAACAACCCAGACCGCCAGCUAAGGUCCCAAAGUCAUGGUUAAGUGGGAAACGAUGUGGGAAGGCCCAGACAGCCAGGAUGUUGGCUUAGAAGCAGCCAUCAUUUAAAGAAAGCGUAAUAGCUCACUGGUCGAGUCGGCCUGCGCGGAAGAUGUAACGGGGCUAAACCAUGCACCGAAGCUGCGGCAGCGACGCUUAUGCGUUGUUGGGUAGGGGAGCGUUCUGUAAGCCUGUGAAGGUGUGCUGUGAGGCAUGCUGGAGGUAUCAGAAGUGCGAAUGCUGACAUAAGUAACGAUAAAGCGGGUGAAAAGCCCGCUCGCCGGAAGACCAAGGGUUCCUGUCCAACGUUAAUCGGGGCAGGGUGAGUCGACCCCUAAGGCGAGGCCGAAAGGCGUAGUCGAUGGGAAACAGGUUAAUAUUCCUGUACUUGGUGUUACUGCGAAGGGGGGACGGAGAAGGCUAUGUUGGCCGGGCGACGGUUGUCCCGGUUUAAGCGUGUAGGCUGGUUUUCCAGGCAAAUCCGGAAAAUCAAGGCUGAGGCGUGAUGACGAGGCACUACGGUGCUGAAGCAACAAAUGCCCUGCUUCCAGGAAAAGCCUCUAAGCAUCAGGUAACAUCAAAUCGUACCCCAAACCGACACAGGUGGUCAGGUAGAGAAUACCAAGGCGCUUGAGAGAACUCGGGUGAAGGAACUAGGCAAAAUGGUGCCGUAACUUCGGGAGAAGGCACGCUGAUAUGUAGGUGAAGCGACUUGCUCGUGGAGCUGAAAUCAGUCGAAGAUACCAGCUGGCUGCAACUGUUUAUUAAAAACACAGCACUGUGCAAACACGAAAGUGGACGUAUACGGUGUGACGCCUGCCCGGUGCCGGAAGGUUAAUUGAUGGGGUCAGCGCAAGCGAAGCUCUUGAUCGAAGCCCCGGUAAACGGCGGCCGUAACUAUAACGGUCCUAAGGUAGCGAAAUUCCUUGUCGGGUAAGUUCCGACCUGCACGAAUGGCGUAAUGAUGGCCAGGCUGUCUCCACCCGAGACUCAGUGAAAUUGAACUCGCUGUGAAGAUGCAGUGUACCCGCGGCAAGACGGAAAGACCCCGUGAACCUUUACUAUAGCUUGACACUGAACAUUGAGCCUUGAUGUGUAGGAUAGGUGGGAGGCUUUGAAGUGUGGACGCCAGUCUGCAUGGAGCCGACCUUGAAAUACCACCCUUUAAUGUUUGAUGUUCUAACGUUGACCCGUAAUCCGGGUUGCGGACAGUGUCUGGUGGGUAGUUUGACUGGGGCGGUCUCCUCCUAAAGAGUAACGGAGGAGCACGAAGGUUGGCUAAUCCUGGUCGGACAUCAGGAGGUUAGUGCAAUGGCAUAAGCCAGCUUGACUGCGAGCGUGACGGCGCGAGCAGGUGCGAAAGCAGGUCAUAGUGAUCCGGUGGUUCUGAAUGGAAGGGCCAUCGCUCAACGGAUAAAAGGUACUCCGGGGAUAACAGGCUGAUACCGCCCAAGAGUUCAUAUCGACGGCGGUGUUUGGCACCUCGAUGUCGGCUCAUCACAUCCUGGGGCUGAAGUAGGUCCCAAGGGUAUGGCUGUUCGCCAUUUAAAGUGGUACGCGAGCUGGGUUUAGAACGUCGUGAGACAGUUCGGUCCCUAUCUGCCGUGGGCGCUGGAGAACUGAGGGGGGCUGCUCCUAGUACGAGAGGACCGGAGUGGACGCAUCACUGGUGUUCGGGUUGUCAUGCCAAUGGCACUGCCCGGUAGCUAAAUGCGGAAGAGAUAAGUGCUGAAAGCAUCUAAGCACGAAACUUGCCCCGAGAUGAGUUCUCCCUGACUCCUUGAGAGUCCUGAAGGAACGUUGAAGACGACGACGUUGAUAGGCCGGGUGUGUAAGCGCAGCGAUGCGUUGAGCUAACCGGUACUAAUGAACCGUGAGGCUUAACCUUACAACGCCGAAGCUGUU